rnacentral:rRNA from 1 species
UUCCCUUAGUACUGCGAGUGAAGAGGGAAGAGCUCAAAUUUAAAAUCUGGCAGUGUUUUGCUGUCCGAGUUGUAAUCUAGAGAAGUGCUGCCCGUGCUGGACCAUGUCACAAGUCUCCUGGAAUGGAGCGUCACAGAGGGUGAGAAUCCCGUCUUUGACAUGGACUACCAGUGCAUUUGUGGUGUGCUCUCAAAGAGUCGAGUUGUUUGGGAAUGCAGCUCUAAAUGGGUGGUAAACUCCAUCUAAAGCUAAAUUUUGGCGAGAGACCGAUAGCGAACAAGUACCGUGAGGGAAGGAUGAAAAGAACUUUGGAAAGAGAGUUAAACAGUAUGUGAAAUUGUUGAAAGGGAAACGCUUAAAGUCAGUCGUGUCGGCCAGGGAUCAACUCAGCUUUCUCUGCUGGGUGUACUUCCUGAUCUGAUGGGCCAACAUCAGUUUCGAUUGCUGGAGAAGGACAGAGGGAAUGUGGCACCUUUGGGUGUGUUAUAGCUCUCUGUCAGAUGCAGUGGUUGGGACUGAGGAUUGCAGCAUGCCGCAAGGCCGGGUCGUUUCGACCACGUUCAUGCUGAUGGAUGUUGGCAUAAUGGCUUUAAUCGACCCGUCUUGAAACACGGACCAAGGAGUCUAACAUGCCUGCGAGUGUUUGGGUGGCAAACCCGAGUGCGGAAUGAAAGUGAAAGGUUGAGAUCCCUGUCAUGGGGAGCAUCGAUGCCCGGACCUGAGCUUUUAGCAAAGGAUCUGCGGUAGAGCAUGUAUGUUAGGACCCGAAAGAUGGUGAACUAUGCCUGAAUAGGGUGAAGCCAGAGGAAACUCUGGUGGAGGCUCGUAGCGAUUCUGACGUGCAAAUCGAUCGUCGA